GAUGGCGACCGGCGCACGGGUGAGUAACACGUAUCCAACCUGCCGAUGACUCGGGGAUAGCCUUUCGAAAGAAAGAUUAAUACCCGAUGGCAUAGUUCUUCCGCAUGGUAGAACUAUUAAAGAAUUUCGGUCAUCGAUGGGGAUGCGUUCCAUUAGGUUGUUGGCGGGGUAACGGCCCACCAAGCCUUCGAUGGAUAGGGGUUCUGAGAGGAAGGUCCCCCACCAUUGGAACUGAGACACGGUCCAAACUCCUACGGGAGGCAGCAUG
rnacentral:rRNA from 1 species